rnacentral:rRNA from 1 species
UACGUAGGUGGCAAGCGUUGUCCGGAUUUACUGGGCGUAAAGAGCGCGCAGGCGGUCGAAUAAGUCGAAUGUGAAAGCCCCCGGCUCAACUGGGGAGGGUCAUUCGAUACUGUUCGACUUGAAGGCAGGAGAGGGCAGCAGAAUUCCCGGUGUAGUGGUGAAAUGCGUAGAUAUCGGGAGGAAUACCAGUGGCGAAGGCGGCUGCCUGGCCUGUUCUUGACGCUGAGGCGCGAAAGCUGGGGGAGCAAACGGG